rnacentral:rRNA from 3 species
GGUUAAGCGACUAAGCGUACACGGUGGAUGCCCUGGCAGUCAGAGGCGAUGAAGGACGUGCUAAUCUGCGAUAAGCGCCGGUAAGGUGAUAUGAACCGUUAUAACCGGCGAUUUCCGAAUGGGGAAACCCAGUGUGACUCGUCACACUAUCAUUAACUGAAUCCAUAGGUUAAUGAGGCGAACCGGGGGAACUGAAACAUCUAAGUACCCCGAGGAAAAGAAAUCAACCGAGAUUCCCCCAGUAGCGGCGAGCGAACGGGGAGGAGCCCAGAGCCUGAAUCAGCAUGUGUGUUAGUGGAAGCGUCUGGAAAGGCGCGCGAUACAGGGUGACAGCCCCGUACACAAAAGCGCAUGUGCUGUGAGCUCGAUGAGUAGGGCGGGACACGUGGUAUCCUGUCUGAAUAUGGGGGGACCAUCCUCCAAGGCUAAAUACUCCUGACUGACCGAUAGUGAACCAGUACCGUGAGGGAAAGGCGAAAAGAACCCCGGCGAGGGGAGUGAAAAAGAACCUGAAACCGUGUACGUACAAGCAGUGGGAGCACAGGUUUACCUGUGUGACUGCGUACCUUUUGUAUAAUGGGUCAGCGACUUAUAUUCUGUAGCAAGGUUAACCGCAUAGGGGAGCCGCAGGGAAACCGAGUCUUAACCGGGCGUUAAGUUGCAGGGUAUAGACCCGAAACCCGGUGAUCUAGCCAUGGGCAGGUUGAAGGUUGGGUAACACUAACUGGAGGACCGAACCGACUAAUGUUGAAAAAUUAGCGGAUGACCUGUGGCUGGGGGUGAAAGGCCAAUCAAACCGGGAGAUAGCUGGUUCUCCCCGAAAGCUAUUUAGGUAGCGCCUCGUGAAUUCAUCUCCGGGGGUAGAGCACUGUUUCGGCUAGGGGGUCAUCCCGACUUACCAACCCGAUGCAAACUGCGAAUACCGGAGAAUGUUAUCACGGGAGACACACGGCGGGUGCUAACGUCCGUCGUGAAGAGGGAAACAACCCAGACCGCCAGCUAAGGUCCCAAAGUCAUGGUUAAGUGGGAAACGAUGUGGGAAGGCCCAGACAGCCAGGAUGUUGGCUUAGAAGCAGCCAUCAUUUAAAGAAAGCGUAAUAGCUCACUGGUCGAGUCGGCCUGCGCGGAAGAUGUAACGGGGCUAAACCAUGCACCGAAGCUGCGGCAGCGAACGUAUCACCCAAGACAACUUUGCGGAGUUGACGAUUGACGGAGCGAAGCGACGUCAAAGCGUUCAUUAAAGUCGAGUUGGCUUAGGGAUACGUUCGUUGGGUAGGGGAGCGUUCUGUAAGCCUGUGAAGGUGUGCUGUGAGGCAUGCUGGAGGUAUCAGAAGUGCGAAUGCUGACAUAAGUAACGAUAAAGCGGGUGAAAAGCCCGCUCGCCGGAAGACCAAGGGUUCCUGUCCAACGUUAAUCGGGGCAGGGUGAGUCGACCCCUAAGGCGAGGCCGAAAGGCGUAGUCGAUGGGAAACGGGUUAAUAUUCCCGUACUUGGUGUUACUGCGAAGGGGGGACGGAGAAGGCUAUGUUGGCCGGGCGACGGUUGUCCCGGUUUAAGCGUGUAGGCUGGUUUUCCAGGCAAAUCCGGAAAAUCAAGGCUGAGGCGUGACGACGAGGCACUACGGUGCUGAAGCAACAAAUGCCCUGCUUCCAGGAAAAGCCUCUAAGCAUCAGGUAACAUCAAAUCGUACCCCAAACCGACACAGGUGGUCAGGUAGAGAAUACCAAGGCGCUUGAGAGAACUCGGGUGAAGGAACUAGGCAAAAUGGUGCCGUAACUUCGGGAGAAGGCACGCUGACAUGUAGGUGAAGUGAUUUACUCAUGGAGCUGAAGUCAGUCGAAGAUACCAGCUGGCUGCAACUGUUUAUUAAAAACACAGCACUGUGCAAACACGAAAGUGGACGUAUACGGUGUGACGCCUGCCCGGUGCCGGAAGGUUAAUUGAUGGGGUCAGCGCAAGCGAAGCUCCUGAUCGAAGCCCCGGUAAACGGCGGCCGUAACUAUAACGGUCCUAAGGUAGCGAAAUUCCUUGUCGGGUAAGUUCCGACCUGCACGAAUGGCGUAAUGAUGGCCAGGCUGUCUCCACCCGAGACUCAGUGAAAUUGAACUCGCUGUGAAGAUGCAGUGUACCCGCGGCAAGACGGAAAGACCCCGUGAACCUUUACUAUAGCUUGACACUGAACAUUGAGCCUUGAUGUGUAGGAUAGGUGGGAGGCUUUGAAGCGUGGACGCCAGUCUGCGUGGAGCCGACCUUGAAAUACCACCCUUUAAUGUUUGAUGUUCUAACGUGGACCCGUUACCCGGGUUGCGGACAGUGUCUGGUGGGUAGUUUGACUGGGGCGGUCUCCUCCUAAAGAGUAACGGAGGAGCACGAAGGUUGGCUAAUCCUGGUCGGACAUCAGGAGGUUAGUGCAAUGGCAUAAGCCAGCUUGACUGCGAGCGUGACGGCGCGAGCAGGUGCGAAAGCAGGUCAUAGUGAUCCGGUGGUUCUGAAUGGAAGGGCCAUCGCUCAACGGAUAAAAGGUACUCCGGGGAUAACAGGCUGAUACCGCCCAAGAGUUCAUAUCGACGGCGGUGUUUGGCACCUCGAUGUCGGCUCAUCACAUCCUGGGGCUGAAGUAGGUCCCAAGGGUAUGGCUGUUCGCCAUUUAAAGUGGUACGCGAGCUGGGUUUAGAACGUCGUGAGACAGUUCGGUCCCUAUCUGCCGUGGGCGCUGGAGAACUGAGGGGGGCUGCUCCUAGUACGAGAGGACCGGAGUGGACGCAUCACUGGUGUUCGGGUUGUCAUGCCAAUGGCACUGCCCGGUAGCUAAAUGCGGAAGAGAUAAGUGCUGAAAGCAUCUAAGCACGAAACUUGCCCCGAGAUGAGUUCUCCCUGAGACUUUAGGUCUCCUGAAGGAACGUUGAAGACGACGACGUUGAUAGGCCGGGUGUGUAAGCGCAGCGAUGCGUUGAGCUAACCGGUACUAAUGAACCGUGAGGCUUAACCUU